rnacentral:rRNA from 1 species
CCCUGCCAUUUGUACACACCGCCCGUCGCUACUACCGAUUGAAUGAUUUAGUGAGGUCUUCGGACCGACACGCGGUGGCUUCACGGCCGUCGGCGUUGCUGGGAAGUUGACCAAACUUGAUCAUUUAGAGGAAGUAAAAGUCGUAACAAG